UACGAAGGGGGCUAGCGUUGUCCGGAAUUACUGGGCGUAAAGGGCGCGUAGGCGGUGUGUCAAGUCAGGCGUGAAAGCCCCGGGCUCAACCUGGGAACGGCGCUUGAGACUGGCACGCUCGAGUUCGGGAGAGGAUGGUGGAAUUCCCAGUGUAGAGGUGAAAUUCGUAGAUAUUGGGAGGAACACCGAUGGCGAAGGCAGCCAUCUGGGACGACACUGACACUGAGGCGCGAAAGCGUGGGGAGCAAACAGG
rnacentral:rRNA from 1 species